GACCGCGGAGCUCAGUUGGCAGAGCAUUGCCAUUGGGCUAGUAUUCCAACGGUCGUAGGUUCGAUUCCCAGUAACCAUGGUCA